rnacentral:rRNA from 1 species
UACGAAGGGUGCAAACGUUGCUCGGAAUUAUUGGGCGUAAAGCGCACGUAGGCGGAUAUGUCAGUCAGGGGUGAAAUCCCGGGGCUCAACCUCGGAACUGCCUUUGAUACAGCAUAUCUUGAGUCCGAUAGAGGUGGGUGGAAUUCCUAGUGUAGAGGUGAAAUUCGUAGAUAUUAGGAAGAACACCGGUGGCGAAGGCGGCCCACUGGAUCGGUACUGACGCUGAGGUGCGAAAGCGUGGGGAGCAAACAGG